rnacentral:rRNA from 1 species
GUCGAACGGCAGCGCGGGGCUUCGGCCUGCCGGCGAGUGGCGAACGGGUGAGUAAUGCAUCGGAACGUGCCCAUGUCGUGGGGGAUAACGUAUCGAAAGGUACGCUAAUACCGCAUACGUCCUGAGGGAGAAAGCGGGGGAUCUUCCGACCUCUCGCGAUUGGGGCGGCCGAUGUCGGAUUANCUAGUAGGUGAGGUAAAGGCUCACCUAGGCGACAAUCCGCAGCGGGUCUGAGAGGAUGAUCCCCCCCACUGGGACUGAGACACGGCCCANACUCCUACGGGAGGCAGCAGUGGGGAAUUUUGGACAAUGGGGGCAACCCUGAUCCCCCCNUGCCCCGUGAGUGAAAAAAGCCUUCGGGUUGUAAAGCUCUUUCUGCCGGGAAGAAAUCGCGGGCUCUAACAUAUGCCCUGGAUGACAGUACCGGACUAAAAAACACCGGCUAACUACAUGCC